UAAGAAGUAUUGCUCCAGGACUGAA
rnacentral:piRNA from 1 species